UAUAUUGAGCCCAUGUGUAUAGAGGCCCAUCUAUAGGUAUUAUAUAUACCCACCCUUCUAGGGUUGGAGGGAUACAUCCAUUAUUCCCUCCAACACUUAGACCACCCCCUCUAGCCACUCCGACCCUAAAACCCAGGUGUUAGAGUGGGGGAGAGGGGGCUUUAUCACUGGACCAACAUUCCCCCUACGGCGAGCGAGCCGCGCCUGUGGCUGCUGGUCUCAGCGAACCCCGCAGGAGAAAUCGCGUAGCGGAAGAAAUGCGUGGCCGGUGGGUUUGGAACCCGGGACCUGGCUCUGGUACCAACUUAGACCACCCCUCUAGCCACUUCGACCCUAAAACCCAGGUGUUAGAGUGGGGGAGAGGGGGGCUUUAUCACUGUACCAACAUUUUUUACAAAAUGUGACAUUGAUUCCACUGGCAUAAAUGAACUUUAUUCUAAAGCUCAAGAUGGCUAUGAAUCGACUAAACUAUAUUCAGUCUCAGUGGAAGAGCUACGAGGAAUGAGUCAGCGAAUGCCUGGCUGCCACAAUGGCGGUUUUGCUCUUUAUGAAUUGAUGAGGAACGAGGCCAAGAGUUUGUGAAGAUUCUGAGUGAGUCUUUCUUUUGCAGGACUGACUUGCUGAUUGGUGAUUGCAUUAAUACAUCAGAAAAUAAGUGUAGAGAUGUUCACAGCUGACACAAACACAGUGUUGAGCACCGCACAUUCACACCCAUCACAUUGCUGGUCUCUGUAGUAGAUGUGCCAUUUCCAUCUUUGUUGGGUCGAUGGUCUCCCUGUACCCUUACAGAAGCUCCAAAAUAAAUAAAAGCACGAAGCUCGAAUUUUUCU